CCUCCUGCCGCCGCCUCUCCCCCUCCCCCUGCCUCUCUCUCUGGUUUCAAGUCCCAACCUGACAUCAUCUACUGUAAGAACUCCAAGCCGCAAAUUGAGCACUUCUUCAAGCUCUUCUGAUUGCCUUCUCAUCCGUCAACAAUUGCAGGUGCCGUUUAAACGUACAGCUCCAUGAUAUCACCAGCUCCAUAUUUGCUAAUAUCUUAGGGAGGAAUGCUAAAAAACUAUUCUCGAUCACGGCUUUACAACUCAUGCAAAAACACUAACCAGGUCAAGCGUGAUAUUGUGCUGAGAGUGCUUGUGCUUUGGUCUCUCCUUUUUCGGUUCUCAUUGUCAUUUGAUAUAGCUUGCUGCUUUGUUCAAUGAUUGUAGCUAAUAUGUAAGGGUUAAUUGCAUAUACUCUCUGUGGUAUCGUUUUUAAAUUGCAACCCCUGUAGUGUACACUUUUGCAGAUGUGCCCUUGGGUUAAAAUUGUGACUGUUUUACCCUUGGACUUACUAAUUUCUAGCUGAAGUCAAACAAAAGGAUAUUGGUUGUGCUUUGGUCUCA